rnacentral:rRNA from 1 species
UGGCCUUGACAUACUAAGAACUUUCCAGAGAUGGAUUGGUGCCUUCGGGAACUUAGAUACAGGUGCCGCAUGGCUGUCGUCAGCUCGUGUCGUGAGAUGUUGGGUUAAGUCCCGNAACGAGCGCAACCCUUUUCCUUAUUUGCCAGCGGGUCAUGCCGGGAACUUUAAGGAUACUGCCAGUGACAAACUGGAGGAAGGCGGGGACGACGUCAAGUCAUCAUGGCCCUUACGGCCAGGGCUACACACGUGCUACAAUGGUCGGUACAAAGGGUUGCUACCUCGCGAGAGGAUGCUAAUCUCAAAAAGCCGAUCGUAGUCCGGAUCGCAGUCUGCAACUCGACUGCGUGAAGUCGGAAUCGCUAGUAAUCGCGGAUCAGAAUGCCGCGGUGAAUACGUUCCCGGGCCUUGUACACACCACCCGUCACACCAUGGGAGUUUGUUGCACCAGAAGUAGGUAGUCUAACCGCAAGGAGGACGCUUACCACGGUGUGGCCGAUGACUGGGGUGAAGUCGUAACAAGGUAAGCGUAGAUGA